rnacentral:lncRNA from 1 species
GUCAGAUCUCAGGGUGAGACAGACAAGCUCUUUUGUGCUCCCUGGGCUGGGAGUCAGAUGUCAUCCUUUAAAGGUCUAAACUUUCCAACAGGAUCUCAGUUUUUAAUUCCCCAGGGAAGUGGAACUCAGUAGCCUCUGGAGGCUGAGGCAGAAGGAUCCAAGUUUGAGGCCAGCUUUGGCAAUUUAGUGACAUCCAUCUCAAAAUAAAAAGGAUUGAGGAUGUGGCUCAUAAGUAAACUGCUCCUGGGUUCCAUCCCCAGUACUGGUACUGAAAAAAAAAUUCCCCAAGCCUCUUUUUUGCCAAGAGCCUCAACCACCCAGCACCUCCCACAGCUAUGGUUUUCUAUUUCCUCUUCAUGUGCUCCUUCUGGGGAGGUCCCUUACUUUCUUGUGGCUUGGAUGUGCUUUUCUUUUCCCCCUGUACUGGGAAUUGAGUCCAGGGGCAUUCUACCACUUAGGUACACCCCCCAGUCCUUUUUAUUUCUGAGACAGGGUCUCCCUAAGUUGCCCAGAUGGGGUUUGAUCUUGUGAUCCUUCUGCCUCAGCCUCCCAAGAAGUUCAGAUUAAAGGCAUGCACAACACACCUAGCUCAGCUGUUCAUCUUAAAGG